CUAAGCGGUAACCGCCUUGCUCUCUUCCGGCUCCCCCAUCUCCCCGAGAAACCAAGAAGGCCGCCGGUUCCGGCUUCUCUUCUCGUCGUUGGCUUGGAGUCUGUCAACAUGGUGGGAUAACUGAGGUGUCUGUGUUCUGUUCUUCACCAGGUCAGCACCAUGAUGAGGCAUACUAACCAGACAUGUCCAAUGGGAUGUAGUACCUGGACAAGGUCUAAUAUGGUGCCAGUGCUGUUUAUGAGAUAGUCCCAAAUCAUCAAUUUGAGUAUAUACUCUUGGAGCAACUAUUUUGUCAGCACCUCUCUUAAUCAACAUGAGAGUCCUUGUUUUAUGUUGGUUCAUUGAGAGGUGGACUUCUAAUGCUUAGACGAGAUAUACAUUUAUAUGCAUUUGCGUGUUGGUCUGGUGGAGUUAUAUUGAAUUAAUGAGCAAGCCUUUGUUGGGAAAAGGGUGUAUAUGACAUGACUUUCAUACCAUGCAAAAGAACGGAGCGGGAUCAUGGUGAGACCCAAAUGCCAGUUGACGGUGGUGGUGAGGGAAACCACUCCUGAAGAGGAAGCAAAGAUUGCCAAGCUCCAAGUCAGCAGGAAACUCACAAGGUGCGAGAGGCAGCUCCCGAAGAAGAAUCAAAGAUUGCCAAGUUCCAAGUCAUCAAUUUCAAGAAACUCACAAGGCGCAAGGGGCAGCUCGUCUCACAUCAGCUCUAUAGAGACCACACCAAGGUGGGAUAGGAAAGGGAUGGAUGCUGCUGCAGUGUAAUACUGCCAUGAUUGUGUUCUGAUGUUUUACAUCAUGGACAAAAUUUGGCAUGUUUCGGCUUGCACAGUGAUCAUCACAGUUCGAAAGAAAUAAAAAAAGGAAAUAAUCUUUGUAGCAGCAGCUUGUUUGGCUGCAUUAUAUCAACCAUGUUUGUAUCUCUUUGUUUUUUUUUUUUUUUUUCCAUGUUGUAGUUAGAUAUCAUCCUUGCCAAGCAAAAUGCUGUAGCAUUUUUUUACUGAUACAGGAGGGUACCCCUAUUAGAUGUCAUGAUUUCACUUUUGAAUUGUUUGAUAUGGCCUAUUCUACAUGAAAUUUUUGACCUAAAAACUUGUGAUAUACUCUUGGAAUG